rnacentral:rRNA from 1 species
UAAUACCGGAUAUGAUCUGUCACCGCAUGGUGGUGGUGGAAAGUUUUUCGGUGGGGGAUGGACUCGCGGCCUAUCAGUUUGUUGGUGAGGUAGUGGCUCACCAAGGCGAUGACGGGUAGCCGGCCUGAGAGGGCGACCGGCCACACUGGGACUGAGACACGGCCCAGACUCCUACGGGAGGCAGCAGUGGGGAAUAUUGCACAAUGGGCGAAAGCCUGAUGCAGCGACGCCGCGUGGGGGAUGACGGCCUUCGGGUUGUAAACCUCUUUCAGUAGGGAAGAAGCGAAAGUGACGGUACCUGCAGAAGAAGCGCCGGCUAACUACGUGC